UCGCACAUAAUUGACUUACUAGGCACAUCGUAUUUUCAAAAAUCAUCGUGUUUUACUCAAAUUCUCCUUGACAGAAUUUGACAUUUUACAUUGCAAUAAAGGCAGCUAGAACAUCGCAAUGCCUGUCUGUAUUAUACACUAUGCCAAAAUUCCCUGCAAGUUCAAAAAUCUCCCACAAUUCCCUGUGUAUUCCAUUGAUUUCUGGUAGAUGAGUACUGAAUAGUCACUUGAAGAGCUUAGCACUUAGCAGGAUAGAAAAUCCAGCGGAGCCUAUUCUGCUGUGCCAAGGAAGAACGCCGUAUGAGCCUUCAGGUGUUGCCAAAUUCCCUUUGAUACAACAGGAAUUUUCUGGUUAACUUAUGAAUAUUUUUCUUCUACUUUUUCAGAUAAUUUAGUUCGCAAUUUCAGCUAAAGUUCCUAAAAAUCUCAAGGAAAAAUAUUCAUACCAUUCCUUAAAAAUAAACAUUUUAUAGGAGGAAAUUUGGCAACCCUCGAAUGUUCAUACGGCGUUUUCCUUUAGCACGGCAGUAUGGGGUUUGUUGUUGUCGGUCCCACUCCACUUGAAAUCCCUGGCAACGCGAGGAUUUUGCUUACAUUUUGGAAAGCUUGCUUUGUAAUGAUGUACGUGAAAAAUGGUAGAGGUUUGUUUCCAUAGAAAGGAAUAAAGUUUGUGCGGAUUUUUUUUCAACAUGUUGGGAUGCUUUCAUUGAUUUCAACCUCUUUAAUAAUUUGCCAUCGACAGUUGUAUGCAAUACGGUUACCUACAAUGAAAACUUUGACAGCUAUUUUUUAGUUAUUUUUGAAGAAUCCAUAGCCAUAGGGUUGCCUACUCUGUUUACACCUAAACCUGAAAAAAUAAUGAUCUCCUCCGUUGUCUGUUCUGAAAAGAUUAGUCCUCUCUAUGGUUCCUCUCUAAUCAUGGUAAGAAACAACUACAUGUUGCUCCAUCCAUUCAAACAACCUUGCACAUAAAAUUAGAUCAGCAAAGUGGCAGGACCAUGACUUAAAUAAAAAUUGAUUCUCUUGCCAAUGGAACUAAGGUAAGGAAGGAUGUAAAAAGGAUUAUGAUAACAAAUGGCCUACGAAAGAAAAUCUCUCAGUUUUCCAGGAAGUCCCAAGUAGGAAACUACCUUCUUCGAACGAUCGAUAUGCCAAUUAUUAAUUGAAGUGUGUCCUGGAUAGCAGCUUACAGUUUUCCUUGCCUGAGGAUCAAUCUAUUUGUGUUCUGACAGUAAAAAAACUCAAAUGAUUCAAGAAAAUUGACAGACAAAAACAGGCCAGUUUCACCUCUGAAACUGAAAUUUUUCAGUGCCUCCUGACAAUUCUGGGUAAAAUAAUUUUUCCUUUACUUUCUCGGGUUGUACGUGAACACUGAACACCUCAAAGGUCUGGGCGUCAAUUAAAGUACUAUGAAUACUUUCCUCAUCUCUCUCUACCGUACUUAUACUCCUGAUAAAGUAGCAAGUCCGUCCCACAAUAGAAAAAUUGUAAAGUAACAACAGAAAGAUGCCCUCAUUCAUAACGUCAGAAAACACAUGUCUCCGUUCAAUUGUCUUGAUGAUUUUUACUGCGGGAACACCUACGGCCAGACUCUCAUGACAACCCUUCAACCUUCAAAUCUAGGUCUUCGGCUUGAGUAAAUGCUGAAAUUUGCGAAUCAUUGGAAUAUUUCCGCAAUUUAAUGUGAAAGACAAGAGUGAUAAGGAGGAAUUUUUCUGUAAACACAUAACCUAAAAUGAAUGUCAACAAACACAUACCGAAACUGAAUUAUGGUGCAUAAGUCAAGGAUGGAUGAUUUUUCGUAAGAUAAAAGCACUCCAAACGCACAGAAAAAUUCACACAAAAUUUAAAAACACCCGGCAAAUUCAGAAAAAUCCAAUAACACAACAAUGUAAACAAAGAGCGUAGCGCCGAUAACGCGAGAAAGCAUAGACUGAAUCCAUCGAGGAGUUGUAGGCAGGAGCAGGAAUCGCGCCGCUCCGGGUAAUUUUGAUGCUAUCUUCACGUCUGGAAUCAUGCAGGCUAACGCACCCUAUCGGAUAAAUGUAGGAACCUCCACUCACUGGCUGUGCUGUUCUCUACUGGUAAGAUUACGAAACUGCUUGCAGCACUCAGCGCCGAGCGCACAAAACUCUUUAAAUCUCUAACCGGCAUUUUCAAAAUUCGCGACUGAAUGAAAUGCAUUUUUCAUAUAUUUCCCCCCUGCAGUUUAGCAUUUCAUUACUGCCUUUGAC
rnacentral:lncRNA from 1 species